rnacentral:rRNA from 1 species
UCGGUUAGUCGGCACGAGCGCACCUCAUCUUCAGUUACUAACAGGUUAAGCUGAGGACUCUGGAGAAACUGCCGUUGGAAAAGCGGAGGAAGGCGAGGAUGACGUCAAGUCCUCAUGGCCCUUAUGGGCUGGGCUACACACGUGCUACAAUGGUAAUUACAAUAAGUCGCGAAAUGGCAACAUUGAGCUAAUCUUUAAAAAUUAUCUUAGUUCAGAUUGCUCUCUGCAACUCGAGAGCAUGAAGUUGGAAUCGCUAGUAAUCGUGGAUCAGCAUGCCACGGUGAAUACGUUCCCGGGUCUUGUACACACCGCCCGUCACACCAUGGGAGUUGGUUUUACCUGAAGCCGAUUUUUAAUCGUCCACGGUAAGGUCAGCGACUGGGGUGAAGUCGUAACAAGGUAGCCGUAGGGGAACCUGCGGCUGGAACACCUCCUUUCU